rnacentral:rRNA from 1 species
AAUCCAUAGGUUAAUGAGGCGAACCGGGGGAACUGAAACAUCUAAGUACCCCGAGGAAAAGAAAUCAACCGAGAUUCCCCCAGUAGCGGCGAGCGAACGGGGAGGAGCCCAGAGCCUGAAUCAGCAUGUGUGUUAGUGGAAGCGUCUGGAAAGGCGCGCGAUACAGGGUGACAGCCCCGUACACAAAAGCGCAUGUGCUGUGAGCUCGAUGAGUAGGGCGGGACACGUGGUAUCCUGUCUGAAUAUGGGGGGACCAUCCUCCAAGGCUAAAUACUCCUGACUGACCGAUAGUGAACCAGUACCGUGAGGGAAAGGCGAAAAGAACCCCGGCGAGGGGAGUGAAAAAGAACCUGAAACCGUGUACGUACAAGCAGUGGGAGCACAGGUUUACCUGUGUGACUGCGUACCUUUUGUAUAAUGGGUCAGCGACUUAUAUUCUGUAGCAAGGUUAACCGAAUAGGGGAGCCGGAGGGAAACCGAGUCUUAAUUGGGCGUUAAGUUGCAGGGUAUAGACCCGAAACCCGGUGAUCUAGCCAUGGGCAGGUUGAAGGUUGGGUAACACUAACUGGAGGACCGAACCGACUAAUGUUGAAAAAUUAGCGGAUGACCUGUGGCUGGGGGUGAAAGGCCAAUCAAACCGGGAGAUAGCUGGUUCUCCCCGAAAGCUAUUUAGGUAGCGCCUCGUGAAUUCAUCUCCGGGGGUAGAGCACUGUUUCGGCUAGGGGGCCAUCCCGGCUUACCAACCCGAUGCAAACUGCGAAUACCGGAGAAUGUUAUCACGGGAGACACACGGCGGGUGCUAACGUCCGUCGUGAAGAGGGAAACAACCCAGACCGCCAGCUAAGGUCCCAAAGUCAUGGUUAAGUGGGAAACGAUGUGGGAAGGCCCAGACAGCCAGGAUGUUGGCUUAGAAGCAGCCAUCAUUUAAAGAAAGCGUAAUAGCUCACUGGUCGAGUCGGCCUGCGCGGAAGAUGUAACGGGGCUAAACCAUGCACCGAAGCUGCGGCAGCGACACUCAGGUGUUGUUGGGUAGGGGAGCGUUCUGUAAGCCUGCGAAGGUGGCCUGUGAGGGUUGCUGGAGGUAUCAGAAGUGCGAAUGCUGACAUAAGUAACGAUAAAGCGGGUGAAAAGCCCGCUCGCCGGAAGACCAAGGGUUCCUGUCCAACGUUAAUCGGGGCAGGGUGAGUCGACCCCUAAGGCGAGGCCGAAAGGCGUAGUCGAUGGGAAACGGGUUAAUAUUCCCGUACUUGGUGUUACUGCGAAGGGGGGACGGAGAAGGCUAUGUUGGCCGGGCGACGGUUGUCCCGGUUUAAGCGUGUAGGUGUGUGUUCCAGGUAAAUCCGGUUCACUUUAACACUGAGGCGUGAUGACGAGGCACUACGGUGCUGAAGCAACAAAUGCCCUGCUUCCAGGAAAAGCCUCUAAGCAUCAGGUAACAUCAAAUCGUACCCCAAACCGACACAGGUGGUCAGGUAGAGAAUACCAAGGCGCUUGAGAGAACUCGGGUGAAGGAACUAGGCAAAAUGGUGCCGUAACUUCGGGAGAAGGCACGCUGACACGUAGGUGAAGUGAUUUACUCACGGAGCUGAAGUCAGUCGAAGAUACCAGCUGGCUGCAACUGUUUAUUAAAAACACAGCACUGUGCAAACACGAAAGUGGACGUAUACGGUGUGACGCCUGCCCGGUGCCGGAAGGUUAAUUGAUGGGGUCAGCGCAAGCGAAGCUCCUGAUCGAAGCCCCGGUAAACGGCGGCCGUAACUAUAACGGUCCUAAGGUAGCGAAAUUCCUUGUCGGGUAAGUUCCGACCUGCACGAAUGGCGUAAUGAUGGCCAGGCUGUCUCCACCCGAGACUCAGUGAAAUUGAACUCGCUGUGAAGAUGCAGUGUACCCGCGGCAAGACGGAAAGACCCCGUGAACCUUUACUAUAGCUUGACACUGAACAUUGAGCCUUGAUGUGUAG